AACGAACGCUGGCGGCAUGCCUAACACAUGCAAGUCGAACGAGACCUUCGGGUCUAGUGGCGAACGGGUGCGUAACGCGUGGGAACCUGCCCUUAGGUUCGGAAUAACUCCCCGAAAGGGGUGCUAAUACCGGAUAAUGUCUUCGGACCAAAGAUUUAUCGCCUUUGGAUGGGCCCGCGUUGGAUUAGCUAGUUGGUAGGGUAAAAGCCUACCAAGGCGACGAUCCAUAGCUGGUCAGAGAGGAUGAUCAGCCACACUGGGACUGAGACACGGCCCAGACUCCUACGGGAGGCAGCAGUGGGGAAUAAAGGACAAUGAGCGAAAGCCAGAUCCAGCAAUGCCGCGUGAGUGAUGAAGGCCUUAGGGUUGUAAAGCUCUUUUACCCGGGAUGAUAAUGACAGUACCGGGAGAAUAAGCACCGGCUAACUCCGUG
rnacentral:rRNA from 1 species